UUCGGGUGCCCCAUUUUUCUUAUUUUUGUCUUCCCCCCAAAUUUUCCCUCCCUCCCUCUCUCCAUCUACCCCCAAAACCAGUGUCGUUCUUCCGGUUCCGGCAACCAUUUUCGCACGAGCCAGCCACCGUUUCGAGCUCCGUCAUUCUUCCGGUUCCGACGAGGUGUUUCGCACGAGCCCGCCACCGUUCCGAGCUCCGUCGUUCUUCCGGAUCCGGCAACCAGUUUCGCACGAGCCCGCCACCGCUCCGAGCUCCGUCAUUCUUCCGGUUCCGACGAGGUCCCCCACCGUCUACUUCCAUCUCCAUCUCUAUCUCCGGCCACUAGGUACUGUCAGGCGCCAUCACCGUCGUUCUCCAUCUUCGGCCAAAGCCCACCCAUCGGCCGUCUUCCAGUGGCGGCCCUCUUCCAUCUCCGGCCGUAUUCCAGUUUCGGCUUCCCCCCAAAUCUGGGAACUGCUGGUCCCGCCAUAUCCGGUGAUUCAUGGGUGCUGCCGAGACCACAAUUGGGCUUCCAUUAAACAGCAUCAUCAUCACCAAAUUAGGGGUUAGGGGUUCCUGUAUCGACAAAUUACAUUAUUUGUCAUAAUAUAAAGCAAUGCAGAAUAAGUAAUUUGUCGACCAAAGAACGGUGAUGCAAAUGCUGAAAGACCUGUGCCAGUUUUGUGCCAGACCAGUUACCAACAAUUUAUCGAACCCUUGGCGAGAAUUAUUUUGAAAGCUGUUGUUGCUCAGUAUAACGCCAGCCAGCUUAUCACUCAGAGAGAGAUUUUCAUAAUCUCCCAUUUAACUAAAUUUAUUGUGGAAAAAGCUGAGCAAGACAAGAAAAGUGCUAUUAUCAGAGCACAGGUCUAUCUUAUUUAAUUUUGUUUCCCACCGGUUAUGGGGUGAGGCCAAGAGUGCACAGCUUAUUGGUUAAGCUAUUGCCAACAAUCCGGCAUUUAUCACUCUCAGAAAAAUUGAAGCUUCAAGAGAAAUUGCGCAUACCCUCUCGAUGCAGCAUCCAACAAAGUUUUCCUGAAUUCAAGUGAUUUGUUGCUGAACCUUCAGGAGAUGAAUUUGGAUCCUACUGGGAAGAAAUAGGCACAACAGGUUGAAAUUACCAAACUAGAAAUUGUCUCAAACUUAAUGUGAUAGCAUAAGGGUCAGAUGACCACACUCUGCUUCAACUCUUCUGUGCUUCUUUCGUGUUUCAUAUAUUAUAAAUGUUGUGGAAGGCUACACUGUUGUGAAGGAGAUGGAGAAGGUGGGAUCCAACAGCGGGACUACUAAGGAACCGGUUGUUAUUGAAGAUUGUGGUCAGAUUACAGAGAAUUGAUGAUGACUGAUGUUGUUUAAUUCAGAUUGAUGAGAAUUAGUAAAUGUUCUUGUAAAUAAAUGUCCUAACUUGUUUUAUCUGCAAUAAUAACUACGGAUCUAGCUUGUUUGA